CCCCUCUCAGGGUCACACCUGGAGAGUUUCCAGGAUUCUAACAGUCUCGGCUACAAGAGGAAGAGUCAGGCAGAGGCCUAUCCAUUCCAUUUCUGGCUUGGGCAGUGGCUAGCAAGUGGAAGACAAUCUGCUGCAAAU